GACGUAGGGUGCAAGCGUUAAUCGGAAUUACUGGGCGUAAAGCGUGCGCAGGCGGUGAUGUAAGUCAGGUGUGAAAUCCCCGGGCUUAACCUGGGAACUGCAUUUGUGACUGCAUCGCUGGAGUGCGGCAGAGGGGGAUGGAAUUCCGCGUGUAGCAGUGAAAUGCGUAGAUAUGCGGAGGAACACCGAUGGCGAAGGCAAUCCCCUGGGCCUGCACUGACGCUCAUGCACGAAAGCGUGGGGAGCAAACAGG
rnacentral:rRNA from 1 species